UGCCACGGUGAAUACGUUCCCGGGCCUUGUACACACCGCCCGUCACACCAUGGGAGUGAGUUGCAAAAGAAGUAGGUAGCUUAACCUUCGGGAGGGCGCUUACCACUUUGUGAUUCAUGACUGGGGUGAAGUCGUAACAAGGUAACCGUAGGGGAACCUGCGGUUGGAUCACCUCCUUACCUUAAAGAAGC
rnacentral:rRNA from 1 species